AAUGCUAUACUACGCUACACUAAACCAUAUUAUACCCCUAAACUAUACUGUGUCACACUAGACCAGGCAAAGCUAUGUUAUACUAUACUACACUACACUACACUACACUACACUACACUACACUACACACACUACACUACACUACACUAUACUACACUAUACUAUACUAUACUAUACUACACUAUACUAUACUACACUACACUACACUACACUACACUACACUAUACUAUAAUACACUACACUAUACUACACUACACUACACUAUACUACACAACACUAUACUACACUACACUACACUACACUACACUACACACACUACACUACACUAUACUAUACUGUACUACACUACACUACACUACACUACACUACACUACACUAUACUACACACACUACACUACACUACACAACAAUACACUACACUACACUACACUACACUACACUACACUACACAACAAUACACUACACUACACUACACUACACUACACUACACUACACAACAAUACACUACACUACACUACACUAUACUACACACACUACACUACACUACACUACACUACACUAUACUAUACUAUACUACACUACACUACACACACUACACUACACUACACAACAAUACACUACACUACACUACACUAUACUACACACACUACACUACACUACACUACACUACACUAUACUACACACACUACACUACACUACACUACACUACACUAUACUAUACUAUACUACACUACACUACACUACACACACUACACUACACACACUACACUACACACUAUACUAUACUAUACUACACUACACUACACUACACUACACUAUACUAUACUAUACUAUACUACACUACACUACACUACACUACACACACUACACUAUACUAUACUAUACUACACUACACUACACUACACUAUACUAUACUACACUACACUACACACACUACACUACACACUACACUACACUACACUACACUACACUACACUACACUACACUAUAAUACACUACACUACACUACACUACACUACACUACACUACACACACUACACUACACUACACUACACACACUACACUACACUACACUACACUACACUACACUACACACACUACACUACACACUACACACACUACACUACACUACACUACACACACUACACUACAAUACACUACACUACACUACACUACACUACACACACUACACUACACUACACUACACUACACACACUACACUACACUACACUAUAAUACACUACACUACACUACACUACACUACACUACACUACACUACACUACACUACACACACUACACUACACUACACUACACACACUACACUACACUACACUACACUACACUACACACACUACACUACACACUACACACACUACACUACACUACACUACACACACUACACUACACUACACUACACUACACACACUACACUACACACUACACACACUACACUACACUACACUACACACACUACACUACACUACACUACACUACACUACACUACACUACACUAC
rnacentral:lncRNA from 1 species